UUCCUUAGAUGGUACGUACAGUUACUUGGAUAACUGUGGCAAUUCUAGAGCUAAUACAUGCAAACCGAGUUCCGACCGCUCAGCAGGCGGAAGGAAUGCUUUUAUUAGAUCAAAACCAAUCGGACUCCUCCGCGGGUCCGUCACGCCUUGGUGACUCUGAAUAACUUCGGGCUGAUCGCACGGUCCCGAACCGGCGACGCAUCUUUCAAAUGUCUGACUUAUCAACUUUCGAUGGUAGGUUCUGCGCCUACCAUGGUCGUAACGGGUAACGGGGAAUCAGGGUUCGAUUCCGGAGAGGGAGCCUGAGAAACGGCUACCACAUCCAAGGAAGGCAGCAGGCGCGCAAAUUACCCACUCCCGGCACGGGGAGGUAGUGACGAAAAAUAACGAUGCAGAACUCUUUCCGAGGCUCUGCAAUCGGAAUGAGCACACUCUAAAUCAUUUAACGAGUAUCCAUUGGAGG
rnacentral:rRNA from 2 species